UUGGGGGGGGAAGACUAACAAGGAUUCCCCUAGUAACGGCGAGUGAAGCGGGAUGAGCUCAAAUUUGUAAUCUGGCGGUCUCUUGCCGUCCGAGUUGUAAUCUGGAGAAGCGUCUUCCGCGCCGGACCGUGUACAAGUCCCUUGGAACAGGGCGUCAUAGAGGGUGAGAAUCCCGUCUCUGACACGGACUCCCGGUGCUAUGUGAUGCGCUCUCAAAGAGUCGAGUUGUUUGGGAAUGCAGCUCAAAAUGGGUGGUAAAUUCCAUCUAAAGCUAAAUACUGGCGAAAGACCGAUAGCGAACAAGUACCGUGAGGGAAAGAUGAAAAGCACUUUGGAAAGAGAGUCAAACAGUACGUGAAAUUGUUGAAAGGGAAACGAUUGGAGUCAGUCGCGUCUCUUGGGACUCAGCUCUGCUUGCGGAGUGCACUUCCCAGGUCGACGGGCCAGCAUCGAUUCGGAUCGUCGGAAAAGGGCAAAGGAGAAUGUGGCACCUUCCCAGGUGUGUUAUAGCUCCUUCGUCGCAUACGGCGGUCUGGAUCGAGGACUGCAGCACGCCCUUUGGGGUCGGGGUUCGCCCACGUAUCGUGCUUAGGAUGCUGGCGUAAUGGCUCCAACCGACCCGUCUUGAAACACGGACCAAGGAGUCUAACAUGCCUGCGAGUGUUUGGGUGGAAAACCCGGACGCGUAAUGAAAGUGAUGUAUCGGGAUCUCUGUCAUGGAGUGCACCGACGCCCGGACCAGAUCUCUUUGAGGGACGGCUCCGAGGUUGAGCAUGUAUGUUGGGACCCGAAAGAUGGUGAACUAUGCCUGAGUAGGGUGAAGCCAGAGGAAACUCUGGUGGAGGCUCGUAGCGAUUCUGACGUGCAAAUCGAUCGUCGAACUUGGGUAUAGGGGCGAAAGACUAAUCGAACCAUCUAGUAGCUGGUUCUGCGUCUU
rnacentral:rRNA from 1 species